GCGACACACCUACACUUACACGCCUUUUGUUUUGUUCGUUCCAUUUCCUGCAGCAGAGCUGCACUGCAGCUGCGGGUCCAGGUCCCACUGUCAGGGCGCUUCAGCUCGUCUUCGCCGUCGUCGUGUACGGAGCCGCAGCACAGGGCAGCGUGGGCCAGCACCAGGAAGUCCCCGCAGCAACCGCGUAUCCCUCGCCCAAUUCCCGGCCCCAGAAAUCUGAUUUCCGACGGACUGGAGCAGCAGAAUCAGCCCCUUGUAGCAGAGAUGGAGCAUGAUGCAUUUUGCCAGCGAGCCUAAGGUUCGCAGCCUAGCCUGAAUACAAUUAAAGUCUCGAGGUCAUUGUCUUCUAUCAAAUCUGUGAAGCAAGCUGAGAAGAGGCAAUCAGAUAGGAGGCUACGCUGAAAGUAUUACAUCUCAAUUAUAAAUGGAUUCUGGCUGAAAUUGCAUCAUUUGGGACCUGUGUGCUCUUUAGCUCUGCACCAUUAAUAAAGAACGGCCAGUUUAACGACGAAGGCAGCUGUGCCUGUGUGGAGGUUGGCUUGGGGGGGGGGAUCCUUAGGGGAUGGUGGAAUUCAGCCGAGAUGUUCCAGCGAAGUCACGGGUGAGACCGCAGAGCGGCCGAGGAGUGACGGGCCGGUGCUGAGCAGCACAUUUCUGCUUAGUCACCCGGCACGGGGAGACGGAGCGGAAAUACCGUAGUUGUGUGCUGGAUACUGGAAGUCCAUUCCAUUACUGGGAGCUGAAGGAGCUGGUGAGAGCUGUUCUCUCAGCCCUUGGAUAUGAGCCAGGAGAUGUAAGGAACACCACAAACCCAGGUGAAUCAUGGGAAGACGUUAAGCAGAAGCACACAAGGCAGAGGAACACCGUGGAUGGUAUGAGGAACCCGCCUGACCAGCAUUGGCCUGUUAUAUUAUGGACUGUGACCUAGACAGACAUCAUAGAGCUUCAAAAAUAAUGCAGAUCAGCCUCCCCGCUGCAUCAGCUACUCAGGCGAAAUCCCCAAAGAGUCUUCAGCGCUGACCUUUGACCUUUGAGCUCUGGGAGACCAUCGCUGUACACUGGAUGAUGACAUUGCAUGCAAUGGAAGCAAUAAACAAAAAGCUACUGGUUAAAGUCCUUGUCUUGUAAAAUGUAUCUGUCUGAGUUGUAUCUACGAAUUAGAGCGAUGACCAUAUUCUGCGAUUAUUUCCUCGCUAGGAUUCAACAACAAGGAACAGAUGUAUUUACGGCUUUCUGUCCCAUGGUUAGAUGCAGACAGGGUGGGGUCAUUGCCGGAUCCCGGAAGACAAGAAGAUUGCAAACAAAUGUGUUUACAGUCUGAUGCAAUGGAAGGUUCUUGCGUUGCCGGGGUUACGGGAGAUCAAAACAAAAACAGAACAUGUCAAUGUAUACAUAUGGGGGGGUGAUUAAUGUAUAUGCAAAACCCUGUUAAUCUGACAUAUGUCUUAGUAGACAGUAGAUUAAAUUAAGGAACAGAAACACACUACCAGAUUUUUUUAUUCUUGUUAAGCCCUGGAAAGUGAACAACUGGAACUUAACUAAUAGCUCAGAGUCGUUAAAAUCUUAUCUAGCUCUGAU